rnacentral:rRNA from 1 species
GCCUACAUGAAGCUGGAGUUACUAGUAAUCGCAGAUCAGAAUGCUGCGGUGAAUGCGUUCCCGGGUCUUGUACACACCGCCCGUCACACCACGGGAGUUGGAGACGCCCGAAGCCGAUUAUCUAACCGUUUGGAAGAAGUCGUCGAAGGUGGAAUCAAUAACUGGGGUGAAGUCGUAACAAGGUAGCCGUAUCGGAAGGUGCGGCUGGAUCACCUCCUUUCUAAGGA